UACGUAGGGUGCAGGCGUUAAUCGGAAUUACUGGGCGUAAAGCGUGCGCAGGCGGUUUGCUAAGACAGGUGUGAAAUCCCCGGGCUUAACCUGGGAACUGCGCUUGUUACUGGCAGGCUUGAGUGUGGCAGAGGGGGGUGGAAUUCCACGUGUAGCAGUGAAAUGCGUAGAGAUGUGGAGGAACACCGAUGGCGAAGGCAGCCCCCCUGGGCUAACACUGACGCUCAUGCACGAAAGCGUGGGGAGCAAACAGG
rnacentral:rRNA from 1 species